AUUGAACGCCGGCGGCAGGCCUAACACAUGCAAGUCGAGCGCGAAAGGCUUUCGGGCUGAGUAGAGCGGCGGACGGGUGAGUAACGCGUAGGAAUCUACCUGGUAGUGGGGGACAACUUGGGGAAACUCAAGCUAAUUCCGCAUACGCCCUAAGGGGGAAAGCGGGGGACCUUCGGGCCUCGCGCUAUCAGAUGAGCCUGCGUAGGAUUAGCUAGUUGGUGAGGUAAAGGCUCACCAAGGCGACGAUCCUUAGCUGGUCUGAGAGGAUGAUCAGCCACACUGGGACUGAGACACGGCCCAGACUCCUACGGGAGGCAGCAGUGGGGAAUAUUGCGCAAUGGGGGCAACCCUGACGCAGCCAUGCCGCGUGUGUGAAG
rnacentral:rRNA from 1 species